CAGCAAGUUAGUUUUCUUUUUUAAAGUUUUCAACUUUUAUUUGGUAUUUUUCAGGAUUUUUGCUAAUGGGUUGACUGUUUCUGUUGUAUUUUUAGGAAUUUUGAAGCUUCCAAGUUUUUUUUUUAAGCUUCUGGGUUUCUCCCAUUUCGAGUUCAGCAAGCAUUUUGAAGAAAGAUGUUGGGAAAACUCAUCACCAACA